CAAGCGCGAUGUGGUUCUUGUAUUCGCCGUUUCCAUUCGUCAUCUUCGUGAAAUCCGCUGUAGCAAAGCAUGCGUACAAGGUUCUUUUCAGCGGAACCUUCUGAGGUGGAGUUUUCGAGAUGUAAACAAUCAAAGAUCUUCUUUUGUUGCAGCAAUCGUUGGGCUACACGUUGUUUUAGUUUAAGCAAAUCGUUCGGACUAAC